AGAGAUUUAACUCAUUGUAAUGCACAGAACGACCUGCCCUCUUGAAAAAAAGGAAAAAACGCAGCCAUGCUUUGCAGAAGCUAGAGCAUUGCUCAUACUGGUAUCCACUACUCGCCUGCCGGAGUCGUCCGAUUGUCCAUCGCUACACCGAAAUAACCGGGAAUACAAGUUGCUUUGCUAAGACCAAAAAUAACUACACCAUACAGUGACGUGAAAGACAACACAAACGAAUGGAUACACGAAAAGACUAUAAGAUGGACCAUAUGGCGAGAGAUGAUAUUUGAUGGAGGAAUACGACGAGGUUGAAGUCUACACCUGUCCGAAGCUUUUUUGACGAGACGAUCAAACGGCCCGGUCCUCUUUUUUUGCCUCCCGAGAUGAAUUCGGACUAACCAUCAUUUUGAAACUCGCCACCAAAAAGCAGCGCUAGUGACGACUUUAACCCAUUACGCACCAAGUUCAGUGCCCGCGGGCCUUCAAUAGGCUUAGCCUAUUGCAAACAUUUUUCAAAUGUUGCCAAAUUACUUUCAGUUUUCACGGUGGGGUAAUGUAUAUACAUUUAUCAGCAACUUUGUCUACCAUUACAGAAUGAUUGGCUGUUUUGGGAGUCCAACUUCAAAGAACAAUGACAUCGACAUUGAAAAGAUGUAUAUCCACAUAACUAUUCGCACUGAAGGUCUGAAGGAACGGGUGGGUACAUUGAACAAGGAAUAGUAUGAGUCGAAGUGGUCACACACACACACACACACACACACACACACACACACACACACACACACACACACACACACACACACACACAGAGAGAGAGAGGGAUCUGAGGUUCUGGUUCUGGCUUUCCGUGUUCACAGCGGACCUUGAUUUAAUGUCUUACAAUUAAGGCACGCGGUGAAUGCCAAGAGCGGAGCCUGCUAUCGUCGGCGCAAGAGCACACAGCUUUCAUUAAAACAACACGCUAAAGGGAUAACGGAAACGCUUUGUGUGUCUGCAAUUGUUGUCUGUAAAUUGCCCUCUAUUUUGUAUUGUUUUCUUUUUUCAGAAUAAAGAAAUUGUACCCAAUA